rnacentral:lncRNA from 1 species
UGCUACACGAUGUGUAAAAACUAUGCAAAAAUAUCCACCCUAGAAAAAUCCACCAUUAAUGCUACAAGCAUGCAAGUAAAAAUCUAAACGAUAGUAGAUUUAAAUCUAGGCAUGCAAUCUCGUUAAAAAAUUAAUUUACGGCACGAAAUCAUCCUAAUAGGGCUCUGAUACCAAUGUAGAGCACAGCGGAAGUAUUCGUUCGUACCUUUUUGCGGAAGCGAUUAGCACUAGAAUGCGACGAGCCCGGAUCGUAGAGGUUGAUUCACGUGUCCUCAGAUCGUCUUCUAUCGCUCCAAACUCGCGGUAGAUCGAACUACAAACGAGUGCGAUCUCUAAUCCACCGUUCAAGACCCUCUAGAAUAAUUGGUUAAUGGAGGGUGUGGUUUUCUAUAUUUCUCUCUUGUUUUUUUUUUCUCUCUUAUGAGAGAUAGCCCGUAUAUUUAUAAGGGAUUCCAAAAUCUUAAUAGGGUUAGAGAUAAGGCCAAAUCGGUUAUUAAUUGUUAUCCUAAUAUGACUAGGAUUUAUCUCUAACUAGCUUUCCAAUUUGAAAGCGAGAUUAAUUCNNNNNNNNNNNNNNNNNNNNNNNNNNNGAGAUUUAAAAAUAAAUUUUAAUUUUGAAUUAUGUAAUUUUGAAAGUUAUCUAUUUAAAUUUGAAAUUUGAAAUAUAAAAUAAAAAAAUUAAAUUCAAAUACAAAAAUUAGGACAAAAUCAAUAUUUUCUAUUUAUAACAACCCACUAUCCUUCUUAUUCCAUCUACUCCAACCAAACACUAUUUUACUUAUACAUAGAUUAAACCCAAUUCUCAACCAAACACAAAAUUACUCUAACCCUACCUUAACCCUUAACUUAAUCCUAUCCCUGGUAUAACUAGUUCUGACUUAACCCCGAACCAAACGAAGCUUCAAGGACUUAGGUACGUGAGUGACGUGGAUUUGAAUUAUAGCGGAAGCUAAAUUGAUUGGGUUAGUUGUUAGUAUGUCUCUAAUGGUAAUUAGGGACUAAUCCAAGUUGCUAUUUAUUCUCAAUCUAGGGAGGUUAUGUUGGCAGCCGACAACAUAACAUCUAGUGGUGAGAAUAGGUGCACUUGAAUGCUUUCGCCUAAUUUGAUUUUGUAUGGAUGAGUCAUAAAGAUGAGUAAAUAACGUGGGUCAAGUGACUAAUUUGGUUGCUACGUUUCAGGAGGCAAUGGCGCCGAUAAGACGCCUUAUGACGAGGCCUACUCCGAGACCCCGUCUAAGAUGCCUGAGUCGUCUGGGCCCGACGAGGUUCGGGAGUUGCGUGCUCAGGUGGCUGCACUUGUUGGAAUGGUGCAGCGACAGGAGGAGCAAUUGGGAAGGCUUCAAGACUGCGUUGCGACAGGUGGCGGCAGCGGCAGCGGCAGCACCUGCGAGCCCAGAUCCGCCCGUACCUUCGGCACCGGCUCCUAAUGUCGCACGGAGAGCAAAUGCGGCAGCCGUGCCUGUGACGGCGCCUCACGUUACUCAAUAGAAGUCCCAAAUAGCCAGCUCUCGCGUUG